CAGGGAGACUUGAACACAAGCACUGCAGUAUCUCAAAAGCUGAUCUGCUCACCGAGGGGGCCCUUGAGCAUGGACAGCCUGGAUCUGCUGGAUUGGUUCUUGGGGAAAAGCUGUGUUUCAGAGACAAGAUUGAAGAACUUCACCUGCAUAUGAUGGAGGAUGAGAAUGGGAACCACAGGUGUCAUUGGUGGUUUUGUUUUACAAAGUCUUCACAUUUCUGCUGAGUCACGGGACUAAGUUCAACACAAUUUCUACUUUCCGCCUUCCUUUGGAAUAAUAGUUUUGGAAGCCAAGUAUUAGUAUAUGAUAUCAGGUGUGUUCUCUAAAGAUUCAGGUUCAGUGGGCUGAAUGCACUUUUGUGACUUCUUUAGACCACUGAGCCCAAGGAGAAAAGUGCCAAUCUUACUAGACAUGAGGAAAAAGACACAUCUUUUGCUCUUGCUGGAAGUGACUUUCUACAAGCAGUCAUCAUCUGGUUUAUACUUGACUUGUUCAGUUUUCAUGUGAUAUUUUAUUCUCUGCCUAAUAGAUAUUAAAGUAUCAAGGUGUCAA
rnacentral:sRNA from 1 species